UAGGGAAUCUUCGGCAAUGGACGAAAGUCUGACCGAGCAACGCCGCGUGAGUGAAGAAGGUUUUCGGAUCGUAAAACUCUGUUGUUAGAGAAGAACAAUGACGUUAGUAACUGAACGUCCCCUGACGGUAUCUAACCAGAAAGCCCCGGCUAACUACGUGCCAGCAGCCGCGGUAAUACGUAGGUGGCAAGCGUUGUCCGGAUUUAUUGGGCGUAAAGCGAGCGCAGGCGGUUUCUUAAGUCUGAUGUGAAAGCCCCCGGCUCAACCGGGGAGGGUCAUUGGAAACUGGGAGACUUGAGUGCAGAAGAGGAGAGUGGAAUUCCAUGUGUAGCGGUGAAAUGCGUAGAUAUAUGGAGGAACACCAGUGGCGAAGGCGGCUCUCUGGUCUGUAACUGACGCUGAGGCUCGAAAGCGUGGGGAGCAAACAGG
rnacentral:rRNA from 1 species